UUAAAUGGCCUGUUUCCUGUACAGCAUCACUCCUGGGACUCUAGCAGGGGCAGUUUUAAGGCAGAAGAUGAUUGUAAAUAAAUUUUCAGAGGUGUUUUGGAGAGUCCCUUAUUGCUGUCGGAGGUGGCUGUUGGAAAAUUCCUUUGGGAGGGUGACUUGCAUGCUUUGUUGUAAGAGUGACUCCAGAAUUAAGGAGCAUUGGCAAGUGCAGUGAGAUGAGUCUGAGGCUGUGGAUCACAUGUAACUGUUUCCUCCCUGCUGUCUUUUAGGAUGAAAUUCGCAGGGAGAUGGUUUAUGUGUAUCAUUCCUUAAGGAACAGGAGAGACACUCCCAUGAUGGGGACAGAUGACACUGCCAGUGAGGAUGGCACGGCCCAGCAGACUCACGGGCUGCGCUUUCCUUUGUCAUACUUGGAAGCACUGAAGCAGAUUUGGAGUAGCAGCACUGUUCAUGUUAAAGAGCUCAACCUCACCUCAGAUGAAGAGAAGGAAAACCUUGCCUUGUCCCUGUGGAGUGAAUGUCUGAUUGAAGUUCUUUGAUGCUUCUGUGAAUUAGCUGCUCCUCUAAAGGAGUGUUUCUGUCUAUUAAGCAUCUCCUGAGAGCGAGGCUUAUUAAAUUACUUUUUUAUCCA